GAUGAACGCUGGCGGCGUGCUUAACACAUGCAAGUCGAACGAACGACUAUUAACAGAACCUUUCGGGGCGAAGAUGAUAGAAGUUAGUGGCGGACGGGUGCGUAACGCGUGGGUAAUCUGCCUUUGUCAAAGGAAUAACUAUUCGAAAGAAUAGCUAAAACCGUAUAACAUAUUAAUAGGGCAUCCUAAUAAUAUCAAAACGGUAGUGGACAAAGAUGAGCCCGCGUCUUAUUAGCUAGUUGGUGAGAUAAAAGCCCACCAAGGCAACGAUCAGUAGCCGACCUGAGAGGGUGAACGGCCACAUUGGAACUGAGACACGGUUCAAACUCCUACGGGAGGCAGCAGUGGGGAAUAUUGCACAAUGGGGGGAACCCUGAUGCAGCAACGCCGCGUGAGUGAAGAAGGCAUUCGUGUCGUAAAACUCUGUAGUAGGGGAAGAAAGAAAUGACAGUACCCUGAAAGAAAGCCCCGGCUAACUACGUGCCAGCAGCCGCGGUAAUACGUAGGGGGCAAGCGUUAUCCGGAAUAACUGGGCGUAAAGGGUGCGCAGGUGGUUUAACAAGUUAGUGGUGAAAGGCAUAGGCUCAACCAAUGUAAGCCAUUAAAACUGUUUAACUUGAGUGCAGGAGAGGAAAGUGGAAUUCCUAGUGUAGCGGUGAAAUGCGUAGAUAUUAGGAGGAAUACCAGUGGCGAAGGCGACUUUCUGGACUGCAGACUGACACUGAGGCACGAAAGCGUGGGGAGCAAACAGGAUUAGAUACCCUGGUAGUCCACGCCGUAAACGAUGAGUACUAGGUGUCGGGUGGAGAACUCGGUGCCGAAGUUAACACAUUAAGUACUCCGCCUGGGGAGUACGCUCGCAAGAGUAAAACUCAAAGGAAUUGACGGGGACCCGCACAAGCAGCGGAGCAUGUGGUAUAAUGCGAAGCAACGCGAAGAACCUUACCUAAGCUUGACAUACCACUGACAGCCUUUUAAUCGACGACUCUUACCUUCGCGUAGACAAUGGAUACAGGUGGUGCAUGGUCGUCGUCAGCUCGUGUCGUGAGAUGUGGGGUUAAGUCCGCAACGAGCG
rnacentral:rRNA from 1 species